rnacentral:rRNA from 1 species
AUGGACGGACGUUCUCUCACUGAAGCACACUACACAGUUCUACAGAAUUCCGCCUUGGUGGCUCCGUAUAUGGAUGAACACAAGAAUUUGCUACGCUCCAAACACCCGGAGCGGUCUGAUGACUGGAUUACACGUGAACAAACCAGGAGUUUCGCCAGCUGGUUGCAGACACGUACCAUGCAUGACACCUCUAUUGAAGAUGACAUGUACUUGCUGUCCCAGUUACCAUCUUCGAAUAUUAUGACUUUCAAAGGGUACGAGAUAAUUGGUAAUACAUUUUACACGAUCACCCAAGAUAAGAAGAGCACCAACCAAAACAGUGGUGUCCGCUUUGAUGCAGAAACCAAGACGGGAAAGGAAACAUAUUAUGGUUGUAUACAGGACAUAUGGGAACUUGACUAUCGAUGUGGUUUAAAGGUCCCUUUGUUUUGGUCAAAUGGGUCAAUAUGA